CCUUAACAAUCGAUGUAUCGCUAGUGCCGUGAGUAAAGUUAGAUGGGGAUUCUCAAUCAUAUUAAUGUACCUGACAAACAUCAUGCAUGGGGAUUUUGGAUUUUACAACCAUUUAAACCGCAAGGGAAACUAUUUUAAGGGCUUCCAUCUUGUCUCCUGAACGUGGGCAGCUGUACUUGGUCGUCGAGUGCCUGGAACUCUUUUCGGUUUGGCACUCGCGUGAAUGCCGGUAAACCUUAGACUACUGCCCGUCCCAUUUCCCGACCACCUACCCACCUACACGAACAACGUUCGGGAGAUAUAAACUACCGAACAAUAAAGAGAUUCCCUUGUAUGGGAAGAACCCUACGAAUAGAGACCGGCCAGAGCACCAAUUUCCCUGGAACUGUCUUGGGCUAGCGCCUCGCGUCUGGCCCUUCAAAACUUUACCACAAUGCCAUUCCCGUUCUGCCAAACCGAUCUGAGUGAUUCUUGGAUAUGUUGGACAGCCAGCUUGGGGCUGUUGGGGAAUGUACUUUUCGUGGGGUUCUGGGGUAUGGUUAGGGUACUUUGGGGUACAGGCUAUUUUGUUGCAUGUUCUGUACCUAUCUCUCAGGCACAGAUGAUCCUAGGAUUGAAAACCCUGCAUUAUUGAAUGUGAAACCCCUUGCCGGGACUAGGUAUAAAAGCCGUGUAUGUGAAAAAACAGUUGUACUCCCAGAACUGUGUAUCAUCCGGUUGCUGGGGAGGAGGUGUUCUACUUGUUCCUGACUGUACUUUGGUGUAACCAGCGGAGUAGAGUCCCUGUUAAGACUAGAGCUCUGCUACAAGUAUUAUGUUUAACUCCUAAAUUUCAAAGAAUUAAGCGGUGAGACUGCAGGAGUGGAAGCUAUACACACCAAAACCACUUUACUAAGCUAAAGUUUCUUUGGUGCUUAGAGUAGGUUCCCUUUAAAUUCUUAGCAGUGUUUAAAAUGUAUCUAGUUCUGUGGCCGGUUAGUAUUCUCUUGGUUAUUUGAGACGUGUGUCCUGGGGAUACGAUGUGCGAGGUGUAUCUAGUUCUGUGGCCGGUUAGUACUAUCCUGGUUAUUUGAGACGUGUUUCCUGGGGUUACGAUGUGUGAGAUGUAUCUAGUUCUGUGGCCGGUUAGUAUUAUCCUGUUUAUUUGAGACGUGUGUCCUGGGGAUACGAUGUGCGAGGUGUAUCUAGUUCUGUGGCCGGUUAGUACUAUCCUGGUUAUUUGAGACGUGUUUCCUGGGGUUACGAUGUGUGAG